GCCGGGAUGGCUUAGUUGGAAGAGCGCCGGACUCAUAAGCAAAUGCUGAGAUAUCCGGAGGUCUCGGGUUCAAUCCCCGAUCCCGGCA
rfam:Picrophilus torridus DSM 9790, complete genome.